AGUGGCGGACGGGUGAGUAACGCGUGAGAAUCUGCCUUGGGGUCGGGGACAACCACUGGAAACGGUGGCUAAUACCGGAUAAGCCGAUUGGUGAAAGAUUUAUUGCCCGAAGAGGAGCUCGCGUCUGAUUAGCUAGUUGGUGAGGUAAGAGCUCACCAAGGCAGCGAUCAGUAGCUGGUCUGAGAGGACGAUCAGCCACAUUGGGACUGAGACACGGCCCAGACUCCUACGGGAGGCAGCAGUGGGGAAUUUUCCGCAAUGGGCGAAAGCCUGACGGAGCAAGACCGCGUGAGGGAGGAAGGCUCUUGGGUUGUAAACCUCUUUUCUCAGGGAAGAAGCUCUGACGGUACCUGAGGAAUCAGCCUCGGCUAACUCCGUGCCAGCAGCCGCGGUAAUACGGAGGAGGCAAGCGUUAUCCGGAAUUAUUGGGCGUAAAGCGUCCGCAGGUGGCGAUUCAAGUCUGCUGUCAAAGCACGGGGCUUAACUCCGUAAAGGCAGUGGAAACUGAAUAGCUAGAGUGCCGUAGGGGUAGAGGGAAUUCCCGGUGUAGCGGUGAAAUGCGUAGAGAUCGGGAAGAACAUCGGUGGCGAAAGCGCUCUACUGGACGGCAACUGACACUCAGGGACGAAAGCUAGGGGAGCGAAUGGGAUUAGAUACCCC
rnacentral:rRNA from 1 species